rnacentral:lncRNA from 1 species
CAAUGAUCAACGAAUUCAGAAACAGUCAUUUCUAUCCUCUUCUGAUCAGUGAACUCUCUGGUUCCACAAUCCGCAACCUACAAAUCACCAGCAGGUGUAACCACAAACCAAAAAAUAAUAUAAUAAAAAAAAUAAAAAAAGAGCCCGAAUAACGGGGUUUAGGCAAUUUGAUAGAAGAACUAAUAUCUCACCUGAACAUUGGAUUUCCCAAAAUGGGUGGAGAUAAAGUGAAGAUUGGGUUUUCCAUUAGGAGAGACCCAGUCGUUGCAAGCCCUCCAAUCGUCCAUUAGUCCAGUAAGAACCACAGGUUGGUUUUGGGCCAUAUAUUUCUUCACAAACUCACCGUAACUUACUUCUCUUCCGUUCACCUUUUCAACUCUUCCUCCAAUUUUCAAUCCCAUUUCUGUAUGUUUCAGUUACACAUGCUCCCUCGUCCUUCUCCGUUUUACCCGUCGAUAUGUGUCGACGGUGAAUCUUGGUUUCCGUGGUAUACUAGCUUCUAUUAUUGGCACAAAUUAAAAAUGAUUUUUAUCUUCCUAUACUUUAUUAGUCUUAAUAUUUAAGGUUAAUUUAAUUAUAUUUAAGCAUAUCAAGUUAUUAUUUAUAUAUCAUAAUUAAUUUAAAGAGUAUAAUUAAUUGAUUGUCUUUUACUUUUUAUUUAAAUAUAUACAUAUAUUCCACAUUUCUCUCUCCUUCUUUCUCUUCUCCAUUCAUUCUUCUUAUCAAAAAAUACAAAGACCCAUUUUUAUAAUAAAAUUUUAGCCAACCAGAUUCAAUAUGAAAUCCAUUGUAAAUACCAUACAAUAAUAAUGCCAAAUACUGGCCGUAGCUGUGGCCAACACCAAUUUGGUACAUAUACAUAAGAAAUGUUAGUUUAUUUGUAGUUUUUUGUAGAAAUUUUAUAGAUGAAGAGAAAAUUUUGUAGUCAAACAUAUUUUUUCAACAUAGAUUAUAGUUUACAACAACAACAACUACUACUACUACCUAGUAUAGUCCCAGAAAGUGGGGAUAGAUUAUAGUUUAAUUGUAAUAUAAAUUUAGUAAUUUUAUAGAUAUCCUUAAAAACAAUAUAACUUUAUACAAUACUUAAACUGAUUUGUAGUUUAUUUGUAGAAAUUUUGUAGAUAAAAAGAAAAUUUUGUAGUCAAUAUUUUUUUCAAGAUAGAUUGUAGUAUAAAUGCAGUAUAAAUAUAGUAAUUUUGUAGAUACCUUUCAAAUAAUAUUGUUUUAUACGUACAUAAACUGAUUUGUAGUUUAUUUGUAGAUUUUUUGUAAAAAAAUUGUAGAUUAGGAGAAAAUUUUAUAGUCAAUAUUUUUUUUAACAUAGAUUGCAGUUUAAUUAUAGUAUAAAUAUAAUAAUUAAUGGAUACCUUUAAACAAUAUUGUUUUAUACAUACUUAAACUGAUUUGUUAUUUAUUUGUAGAUUUUCGGUAAAAGAAUUGUUGACUGGAGCUAGAGGAAUGAAAAUUUUGAUUCUCUUUUUCUUCUUUAUGGGAGACUUCUCGAAAUCAGAUUCUAAUGUAUCUUCAGGCGCAAUAAAUUGGUGGUGAAUCUCGGUAAUGGAUGAUGUUGGAGACAUGAGUUGACUUACUGGGCAUUGAUUAAAAGUUGCAGGGCGAGGACGUGAAAAAUGAGGAAAGAUAAGCCUGCAGAAAAAGGAGGAAACAAAUCUAAUGUGAAUAAGAAAAAAUAUUUAGUCCCAAAUUUUUAGGCACCUAAUAUAAAGAAAUAAGCUAUUCAAAUAUUUAUCUCAUAUUUGUAGGCGCCUAAUUAUGAAGAAACCAGGUCUUAAUAUAUUAAUGAAUGGUAUAAUUUUGUAUGAAAAAUAUAAACAUGGCGGGUAAUAAUGAAAUUAUGCACAUUUUUAGUAAUAAUGUUUCAUAUAUGGUAUAGAUAGGGAAAAAAUCUCAAUUAAAAAAUAGCCACAUUUACAACUGAUGCUUCAAAAAUAGUCCAAUUUUAAAAUUAAUCGAAAUUUAGCCACUUUUCAUGUAAAGAUAAAUUUGAGCGAAAACGCUGUUCAAAACUCAAAAAAUACAUCAGUAUAUUAUACUGGAGUUUCAGAAUAAGUAUGCUUGAACUUCAGCAUACAUAUUAUACUGGAAUUCCAGGAUAAGUAUGCUUAGGGACGGCUCUAUAGGUGUAUGGGAUAAGGCAAGUGCCUUAGGCCCCCAAUUUUGGGAGGCCCCAUUUUUU